rnacentral:rRNA from 1 species
AUGAACGCUGGCGGCGUGCCUAAUCCAUGCCAGUCGAGCGAACAGACGAGGAGCUUGCUCCUCUGACGUUAGCGGCGGACGGGUGAGUAACACGUGGAUAACCUACCUACAAGACUGGGAUAACUUCGGGAAACCGGAGCUAAUACCGGAUAAUAUAUUGAACCGCAUGGUUCAAUAGUGAAAGACGGUUUUGCUGUCACUUAUAGAUGGAUCCGCGCCGCAUUAGCUAGUUGGUAAGGUAACGGCUUACCAAGGCAACGAUGCGUAGCCGACCUGAGAGGGUGAUCGGCCACACUGGAACUGAGACACGGUCCAGACUCCUACGGGAGGCAGCAGUAGGGAAUCUUCCGCAAUGGGCGAAAGCCUGACGGAGCAACGCCGCGUGAGUGAUGAAGGUCUUCGGAUCGUAAAACUCUGUUAUUAGGGAAGAACAAAUGUGUAAGUAACUAUGCACGUCUUGACGGUACCUAAUCAGAAAGCCACGGCUAACUACGUG